rnacentral:rRNA from 1 species
CAGCCGCCGCGGUAAUACGUAGGUGGCAAGCGUUGUCCGGAAUUAUUGGGCGUAAAGGGCUCGCAGGCGGUUUCUUAAGUCUGAUGUGAAAGCCCCCGGCUCAACCGGGGAGGGUCAUUGGAAACUGGGAAACUUGAGUGCAGAAGAGGAGAGUGGAAUUCCGCGUGUAGCGGUGAAAUGCGUAGAGAUGUGGAGGAACACCAGUGGCGAAGGCGACUCUCUGGUCUGUAUCUGACGCUGAGGAGCGAAAGCGUGGGGAGCGAACAGGAUUAGAUACCCCCGUAGUCCCUGUCUCUUAUAC